CUGCAAGUUUGUACUUUGUGUUCCUUUCAAAGUUAAAGACUAGUACCAUUAGUACUGAAAGUAAAGAUUAGUGCUUUCAAACCUCUUGACAGAGGACCAUGGUCUUUAAUGAAGUUUUCUUUUUCCUUUGUUAAAUUCUAGCUUCACAGUCCUAUUGUUCAAAAAAUGGUUAACCAAAGAAAGCAGUUGUUAUGCUGCUUCUUGGGACGCUUUCAAGGAAGUAGAUGCUUUUAACCAUUUUUGGAUCUCUUAAAACAAUCUAUAAUCAUGGAGAUAUUUAGCCCAAUUCAUUAUUGCAAAUUUUUGAAGAACUGGAUAAUUGCAAAUAUUUAUCUGAUGAACAUAGUAACCAGGUGGAAUUGAAGGUAAUCAAAUAAUUAACAAAAAUAUGCCGAUUGCUUCAGGAAACUUUAAAUGGUCUGAAGAGUUGAAGGGACGAAUACAGACUUUUUGGUCUUGCUUCUCAGGUCUGUCUCACCGGUGGCAGCACAAAGGAUGGCAUGUUCCUGUGGGAGAAUUAGACCUACCUGAGUUAAAAGUUAUUGAGUAAUAACCGUUUCAACCGUUGACCACUGAUGUAACCAGUAAGAUAUAAUGGGGUCAUAUCCUGUUCUUUUCCUAGAAUCUUAAUUGUUCUCAGUGUUCUCACUUUUUGU
rnacentral:lncRNA from 1 species